UACGUAGGGGGCUAGCGUUUUCCGGAAUCAUUGGGCGUAAAGCGCGUGUAGGCGGUCCGGUAAGUCCGCUGUGAAAGUCGAGGGCUCAACCCUCGAAUGCCGGUGGAUACUGUCGGGCUUGAGUACGGGAGAGGCGAGUGGAAUUCCUGGUGUAGCGGUGAAAUGCGUAGAUAUCGGGAGGAACACCAGUGGCGAAGGCGACUACCUGGCCUGUUUCUUGACGCUGAGGCGCGAAAGCUAGGGGAGCAAACGGG
rnacentral:rRNA from 1 species